AGCAGUCGCCCGGUAAUACGGAGGGUGCAAGCGUUAUCCGGAUUUAUUGGGUUUAAAGGGUCCGUAGGCGGAUCUGUAAGUCAGUGGUGAAAUCUCACAGCUUAACUGUGAAACUGCCAUUGAUACUGCAGGUCUUGAGUAAAUUUGAAGUGGCUGGAAUAAGUAGUGUAGCGGUGAAAUGCAUAGAUAUUACUUAGAACACCAAUUGCGAAGGCAGGUCACUAAGAUUUAACUGACGCUGAUGGACGAAAGCGUGGGGAGCGAACAGGAUUAGAUACCCCCGUAGUCCCUGUCUCUUAUACC
rnacentral:rRNA from 1 species